rnacentral:rRNA from 1 species
UACGUAGGGGGCUAGCGUUUGUCCGGAAUCAUUGGGCGUAAAGCGCGCGUAGGCGGCCAGAUAAGUCCGGUGUGAAAGUCACAGGCUCAACCUGUGAAUGCCGCUGGAAACUGUCUGGCUAGAGUCCGGAAGGGGCGAGUGGAAUUCCUGGUGUAGCGGUGAAAUGCGCAGAUAUCAGGAGGAACACCAAUGGCGAAGGCAGCUCGCUGGAACGGUACUGACGCUGAGGCGCGAAAGCGUGGGGAGCGAACAGG